UACGGAGGGGGCUAGCGUUGUUCGGAAUUACUGGGCGUAAAGCGCACGUAGGCGGCUUUGUAAGUUAGAGGUGAAAGCCCGGGGCUCAACUCCGGAAUUGCCUUUAAGACUGCAUCGCUAGAAUUGUGGAGAGGUAAGUGGAAUUCCCAGUGUAGCGGUGAAAUGCGUAGAUAUUGGGAGGAACACCAGUGGCGAAGGCGGCUCACUGGACCGGUACUGACGCUGAUGCGCGAAAGCGUGGGGAGCAAACGGG
rnacentral:rRNA from 1 species